rnacentral:lncRNA from 1 species
AAAUGAAGAUCCAUAGUCAGUAGGAACGUCUCAAAAUGUACUACUGAUAACCCUGUCUAUCACCCAACUCAAAAUUGUGGAGAGCCUACGAUCAACCAUCUGAUCGCAGUGUGAGAGCAGAAGGACACCACGAUUAUAGCCAAUGCAAAUGUCUAGAGUUGGUUGAAGAACUCCCUAGCAGAAAAGGUCAAAUGAGAUAUCAGUGUUAAUCAUUUCUAAAGCUUUUCAUCUGGAAAGCACUUUAGGGACAAACCUAACCCUUAGUUCACUCUAAGAGGUUGGCCCUUCCUGAGCUACCUUAACCUAGAAGGAAUGCUUAGUCUAGUUCAUCUCAAGGACCAGGACAGACAACGAUCGUGGAAUAGAUUCUGAAGUGACCUCAACGAUCGUAAAGUAGGCUCGACGAUCGCAGUCUUCCCAGAGGAUACACUAGCUCAUGGGGAGCUCGGAAGAA